UUUUAAUAUUCGCAUCGUACUCUCAACUCAGAGUCUUCAACCUCUCUGUGCUGGAAGUUGUGGACAGCCUGUCACCGCGCCAGCGAUCGGAACUUUUCCUGGAUCCAGACACUGGUGCUUUGGAGAACCAGACGGUGGCGGAUGCAGUGUUGACAAGCUUUCUGGAGUCCCCCGAUGAUCAAGCGCUCACUGAGUAUUUCCAGAAUUUCACAGUCAUCAGCCAGCAGCAAAACCUGACCCUAAUCACAAACCCAGCUGUGAGAAACACCGUCCUGAAUCGGACCCUGACAGCCUUGGCUCCUCAACUGGAAAACUUUGGACCUGAAGACUAUCAGCUAUGGUUCCAGGUGUAUUUGACCCCUGUACUGGCCAGCCUCCGUCCCAACGACUUGCUCGUAAUC